UGCCGCGUGUGUGAAGAAGGCCUUCGGGUUGUAAAGCACUUUCAGCGAGGAGGAAAGGUUGGUAGCUAAUAACUGCCAGCUGUGACGUUACUCGCAUAAGAAGCACCGGCUAACUCCGUGCCAGCAGCCGCGGUAAUACGGAGGGUGCAAGCGUUAAUCGGAAUUACUGGGCGUAAAGCGCACGCAGGCGGUUGGAUAAGUUAGAUGUGAAAGCCCCGGGCUCAACCUGGGAAUUGCAUUUAAAACUGUCCAGCUAGAGUCUUGUAGAGGGGGGUAG
rnacentral:rRNA from 1 species